UACGUAGGGUCCGAGCGUUGUCCGGAAUUACUGGGCGUAAAGAGCUCGUAGGUGGUUUGUCGCGUUGUUCGUGAAAGCCUCGAGCUCAACUCGAGAACUGCGCUUGAUACUGUGUGGCUAGAGGACCGGAGAGGAUAGUGGAAUUCCCAGUGUAGUGGUGAAAUACGUAGAGAUUGGGAAGAACACCAGUGGCGAAGGCGGCUAUCUGGACGGUUUCUGACACUAAGACGCGAAAGCGUGGGGAGCAAACAGG
rnacentral:rRNA from 1 species